rnacentral:rRNA from 1 species
GACGGGGGGGGGCAAGUGUUCUUCGGAAUGACUGGGCGUAAAGGGCACGUAGGCGGUGAAUCGGGUUGAAAGUGAAAGUCGCCAAAAAAGUGGCGGAAUGCUCUCGAAAACCAAUUCACUUGAGUGAGACAGAGGAGAGUGGAAUUUCGUGUGUAGGGGGUGAAAAUCCGUAGAUCUACGAAAGGAAACGCCCAAAAAAGCGAAAGGCAGCUCUCUGGGG